GCCAGGGUGAUGCAGUGGUUUGAGCAUUGGACUAUGACUCUGGAGACCAGGUUUCGAAUCUCUGCUCGGCCG